rnacentral:ncRNA from 1 species
GAACGGGUGAGUAACGCGUAAGAACCUGCCCUUGGGAGGGGAACAACAACUGGAAACGGUUGCUAAUACCCCGUAGGCUGAGGAGCAAAAGGAGAAAUCCGCCCAAGGAGGGGCUCGCGUCUGAUUAGCUAGUUGGUGAGGUAAUAGCUUACCAAGGCGAUGAUGAGUAGCUGGUCCGAGAGGAUGAUCAGCCACACUGGGACUGAGACACGGCCCAGACUCCUACGGGUG